CCUACGGGCGGCUGCAGUGGGGAAUAUUGCACAAUAGGCGCAAGCCUGAUGCAGCCAUGCCGCGUGUGUGAAGAAGGCCUUCGGGUUGUAAAGCACUUUCAGCGGGGAGGAAGGCGGUGAGGUUAAUAACCUCAUCGAUUGACGUUACCCGCAGAAGAAGCACCGGCUAACUCCGUGCCAGCAGCCGCGGUAAUACGGAGGGUGCAAGCGUUAAUCGGAAUUACUGGGCGUAAAGCGCACGCAGGCGGUCUGUCAAGUCGGAUGUGAAAUCCCCGGGCUCAACCUGGGAACUGCAUUCGAAACUGGCAGGCUAGAGUCUUGUAGAGGGGGGUAGAAUUCCAGGUGUAGCGGUGAAAUGCGUAGAGAUCUGGAGGAAUACCGGUGGCGAAGGCGGCCCCCUGGACAAAGACUGACGCUCAGGUGCGAAAGCGUGGGGAGCAAACAGGAUUAGAUACCCCAUAGUC
rnacentral:rRNA from 1 species